GACGAACGCUGGCGGCGUGCCUAAUACAUGCCAGUUGAGCGCUGAAGGUUGGUACUUGUACCAACUGGAUGAGCAGCGAACGGGUGAGUAACGCGUGGGGAAUCUGCCUUUGAGCGGGGGACAACAUUUGGAAACGAAUGCUAAUACCGCAUAAAAACUUUAAACACAAGUUUUAAGUUUGAAAGAUGCAAUUGCAUCACUCAAAGAUGAUCCCGCGUUGUAUUAGCUAGUUGGUGAGGUAAAGGCUCACCAAGGCGAUGAUACAUAGCCGACCUGAGAGGGUGAUCGGCCACAUUGGGACUGAGACACGGCCCAAACUCCUACGGGAGGCAGCAGUAGGGAAUCUUCGGCAAUGGACGAAAGUCUGACCGAGCAACGCCGCGUGAGCGAAGAAGGUUUUCGGAUCGUAAAACUCUGUUGGUAGAGAAGAACGUUGGUGAGAGUGGAAAGCUCAUCAAGUGACGGUAACUACCCAGAAAGGGACGGCUAACUACGUG
rnacentral:rRNA from 1 species